AUUGAACGCUGGCGGCAGGCUUAACACAUGCAAGUUGAACGAGUUGCGGACGUGUGAGUAAUGUCUGGGAAAAUGACUGAAGGAGGGUGAUAAUUACUGGAAACGGUAGCUAAUACCGCAUAUCCUCAGAUGUUUCCAGAUGGGAUUGGCUAUCUGGCGGGGUAACGGCUCACAAAGGCGACUAUCCCUAGCUGGUCUGAGAGGAUGACCAGCCACACGGGAACUGAGACACGGGCCAGACUCCUACGGGAGGCAGCAGUGGGGAAUAUUGCACAAUGGUCGAAAGCCUGAUGCAGCAAUGCCGCGUGAAUGAAGAAGGCCUUCGGGUUGUAAAGUACUGUCGGCGGAGAGGCGUUACCCAAAGAAGAAGCACCGGCUAACUCCGUGCCAGCAGCCGCGGUAAUUC
rnacentral:rRNA from 1 species